GACGAACGCUGGCGGCGUGCUUAACACAUGCAAGUCGAACGAAAAGGCCCUGCUUUUGUGGGGUGCUCGAGUGGCGAACGGGUGAGUAACACGUGAGUAACCUGCCCUUGACUUUGGGAUAACUUCAGGAAACUGGGGCUAAUACCGGAUAGGAGCUCCUGCUGCAUGGUGGGGGUUGGAAAGUUUCGGCGGUUGGGGAUGGACUCGCGGCUUAUCAGCUUGUUGGUGGGGUAGUGGCUUACCAAGGCUUUGACGGGUAGCCGGCCUGAGAGGGUGGACGGCCACAUUGGGACUGAGAUACGGCCCAGACUCCUACGGGAGGCAGCAGUGGGGAAUAUGGCACAAUGGGCGGAAGCCUGAUGCAGCAACGCCGCGUGCGGGAUGACGGCCUUCGGGUUGUAAACCGCUUUCGCCUGUGACGAAGCGUGAGUGACGGUAAUGGGUAAAGAAGCACCGGCUAACUACGUG
rnacentral:rRNA from 1 species